CCUACGGGAGGCAGCAGUGGGGAAUAUUGGGCAAUGGGCGCAAGCCUGACCCAGCAACGCCGCGUGAAGGAAGAAGGCUUUCGGGUUGUAAACUUCUUUUAAGAGGGAAGAGCAGAAGACGGGACCACUGGAAUAAGCCACGGCUAACGACGUGCCAGCAGCCGCGGUAAUACGUAGGUGGCAAGCGUUGUCCGGAUUUACUGGGUGUAAAGGGCGGGCAGCCGGGAAGACAAGUCAGAUUUGAAAUCCCGCGGCUCAACCGCGGAACGGCAUUUGAAACUGUUUUUCUUGAGUACCGGAGAGGUCAUCGGACUUCCUUUUGUAGCGGUGCAAUGCUUCGCUAUCCGGUA
rnacentral:rRNA from 1 species